AAAAAAACUGCACAUUGAAUAAGGGAAAUAAAUGGCUAUUAAGUGAGCAAUGUAUUUUUGCCUAUUCAUAUUCUAUUUUUCAUACUAUAUAUAAUCUUCUCAUUUUUUGGGAGGGUCUUAUGAUAUGUUUUUUUCUCUUCUCCUUUAUUUUCUUCUUUCUUUUUUGUUUUAAUUUUAUUUUAUAUCUUUGAUUUUAAUGUAUAUUAUCAUUAUCUUAUAAAAA
rnacentral:lncRNA from 1 species